UGAUAGGACUUAGGGCUAAAUUAGGGCUAACUUUUAUUGAUUAAAUCAAAAGAAACAAACAAUCAAUCCUGACCUACAAUUCGAGAGGUAGGUCAAUCUCUCCCAAAACUCCUAAUGGUUCCUAAUACCAGACAAAACUCAACAUAAACCCUAAAUGACUUCAUAAUUUAGGUCAAUCUCUCCCAAAACUCCUAAUGGUUCCUAAUACCAGACAAAACUCAACAUAAACCCUAAAUGACUCCAUAAUCUCUUAUUUAUAGCUAAACCCUAAUUAAUAAUAAAGUUACUAAAUUGCCCCUGCCCCUAAAAUUACUAAACAGCCCCUGCCCCUUUAUAUUUGCGCCUAACAUAAGUUUUCAUGGACCUAACAUGACUCCCCUCCCAAAAAGACACCUUGUCCUCAAGGUGAAAUCUAG
rnacentral:lncRNA from 1 species